GGGGGUUAGGGUCGGCAACGCGCAUGUAACACCUCUGGAGUUGCAGGCGUCCAUAGGCGACGGUGACUGCUUACCAUCAGGCGGACCGUAUGCUUGUUUGCCACCGAUGUGGUAUAAAAAAAAAGUUGGACAUUUAAAAAUUUGUAUGAAAUCUGUCUUACGCUCCUAAUUUUUA